CCCUUAGAUGUCCUGGGCCGCACGCGCGCUACACUGAUGCAUGCAACGAGUUUAUAACCUUGGCCUGAAAGGUCUGGGUAAUCUUUUGAACGAGCAUCGUGAUAGGGAUAGAUUAUUGCAAUUGUUAAUCUUGAACGAGGAAUUCCUAGUAAACGCGAGUCAUCAGCUCGCAUUGAUUACGUCCCUGCCCUUUGUACACACCGCCCGUCGCACCUACCGAUUGAAUGGUUCGGUGAAGAUCACGGACUUCGAUAUUUAUUCUUUAUUGAGUUUAUAUUGUGGGAAGUUAUCUAAACCUCAUCAUUUAGAGGAAGGUGAAGUCGUAACA
rnacentral:rRNA from 1 species